GACGAACGCUGGCGGCACGCCUAACACAUGCAAGUCGAGCGGGAUCUUGUGGAAUGAGUCUUCGGACAAGUGAAGCAAGUGAGAGCGGCGGACGGGUGAGUAACGCGUGAGUAACCUGCCCUAUACAGGGGGAUAGCCAUUGGAAACGGUGAUUAAUACCCGAUAAGACCACGCCAUCGCAUGAUGAAGUGGUAAAAACUGAGGUGGUAUAGGAUGGACUCGCGUCUGAUUAGCUAGUUGGUGAGGUAACGGCUCACCAAGGCGACGAUCAGUAACCGGCCGGAGAGGGUGAACGGUCACACUGAAACGGAGACACGGUCCAGACUCCUACGGGAGGCAGCAGUGGGGAAUAUCGCACAAUGGGCGGAAGCCUGAUGCAGCGACGCCGCGUGAGGGAUGACGGCCUUCGGGUUGUAAACCUCUUUCAGCUCUGAAGAAGCGAAAGUGACGGUAGGAGCAGAAGAAGCACCGGCUAACUACGUGCCAGCCGCCGCGGUAA
rnacentral:rRNA from 1 species